CUUCUCUUAGCUGACAUUGCUCUUAAUGAGGUCACAAUGACCUCUGUCUUUACCAAAUUCUGGUCCUUUGUCUCUUUAUUCACUGCCUUUUCUCUGGGUGGUCACAGCCAUACUUGUGGCUGUAAGGAGUUCUCUGCUGCUGCUUCCUAAGUUUUUAUAUCUGCAUUCCAUUCUCCAAGUGGACAUCUCCAUUUGGAUACCCCAUAGGCACCUCAAAUGCAGUAGGCUUUGUAAUAGAAGUCUUGAUUUUUCCUCCUCCUCUUGCUCUGCCCUCAGUUUUCCCAUAUAACAAAACAGCAUCCAGUUGCUCAAGCUAAAGACAGACCAUUGUUCUUCCCCGAUUCCUCCUUCCUCACCCUCACUCAGUGAAAGCUGUUAGCUCAACCUCCUGAACAUUUCUGGAGCCCAUUCAUUUCCUGUGCAGCACCCCCAUUACAGUGGCUCCUGACUUAAUUUCUCAGCAGUCUCCCUGCUUGUGUUCUCAUCCCCUGCAGUCAUUUUGUUACUCCAGCCAGAGUGGAUACUUUAAAAACCCGAGUAAGAUCAUGCCUUUUCCCUUUGGUCCUUCCUGUGGCUUUCCAUUGACCAGAGAAUCAACUCAAGCUUUAUUUUUUUUGUUUGUUUUUUUGAGACAGAGUCUCACUACGUAGCCCAGGCUGGCCUCGAAAUCAUGGUGAUCUCCUGCCUCAUCCUCCUGACGCUGGGAUUACAGAUGUGCAUCCCCACAUGUGGCAGCUGAACUCAAACAUUUUCGGGAGUCUCAGAGCACCUCAAGCUCCUGGCGCCAGCCCCUGCCCCUCCAGCCCACUCUACGCCACUGCUUCCUUCUGUUCCUCUGACACCAUCAUCAUCAUCUUUGCCCCGCUUCGAGCCUGCGUUGUUGCUGCCUCUGUUUCGUGCUUGUGUUUUCUCAGGACCCUGUAUCUCAUCCUAUCGUCAAGAUGACCGUGAGCCGCGGAACUAACUACUGGAUUGCGGAGCACCAGGUAGGAGCUGGGUCUACCAGGACGUGGCUCAUGGCUGUAACCGAGAACUCUGGGAGGCCGAGGCAGGAGGAUCUUAAAUUCCAGCCCAUCCUGGGCAGCUUAGAGACUUUGCAAGAUCCUGACUAAAAAUUAAAAAACGGG
rnacentral:lncRNA from 1 species